AAAGAGGGAGGGAGGGAGGGAGGGAGAGAGAGCCGGAGAGUUCUUGGAAAGAAGAUGGUGAACUCACCGGUGGUGAAUAUGUAUCCGCUGUCGAGCUAUACCUUCGGGACGAAGGAGCCGAAGAUGGAGAAGGACACCUCCGUCGCUGAUCGUCUCGCUCGCAUGAAAGUCAACUAUAUGAAGGAGGGCAUGAGGACCAGUGUUGAAGGCAUUUUGCUGGUGCAAGAACACAGGCAUCCCCACAUCCUUCUUCUCCAAAUUGGGAACACCUUUUGCAAACUUCCAGGGGGGCGCUUAAAGCCUGGUGAAAAUGAGAUUGAAGGUUUGAAGAGGAAACUAUCAAGCAAACUGGGUGCUAAUUCUCCUCAACUCCAGCCUGAUUGGCAGAUUGGUGAGUGUGUUGCUAUAUGGUGGAGGCCAAAUUUUGAAACUGUCAUGUACCCUUACUGCCCUCCGCACAUCACAAAACCUAAGGAGUGCAAGAAGCUUUUCAUCGUCCACUUGUCUGAAAGAGAUUACUUUGCAGUACCCAAAAACUUGAAGUUGCUUGCUGUCCCUCUGUUUGAGCUCUAUGACAAUGUUCACGUAUGGCCUCCUAAGAUUAUUUAAAGUUACCACUUCCACCUUUUCUCCUUGUUCUUGCAGAGCAGUUCUAUGAGUACCUUCCACGGUGUCCUGUAAUUAUGAGAUAUGGUCCGGUCAUCUCCACAAUCCCCCAGCAGCUGUCAAGGUUCCAGUUCAACAUGAUGACAACAUAGGUCAUACUGAGUGCAAAAACUUAGUUCAGCCUCAAACCUAUAAUUAUUGACAUUGAUUAGAAGUCAACCAGUUAGUCAGUAGAAUUGUUGUCUCGGCUAGUAUAGUAGACACUGAAAUGCUUCCCUGAUCCAUUAUCACAUUUUAUGUGUUUUGUGUUGAUGGCUCACUUCUACUUCGAGCUUGAGUAGUCUUACAACCAUUGGAAGUCAGUCUUUGUUGGAGUACUCAGACAUUCAGCUGGCAAUAGUAGUUAGCAGUCCGGAGAUUCUUCUGAGCUCGUUGGGUCGCGGAUUUACGAUUGUACAAUGGUCGUUUGUAAUCUGAUUUAUCUCACCUGGUUCAAUGCCACGCACCGAGUUGUCUGAGCAGUUAACCGAUUCAAGAGUUUGUGGUAGAGGAGAAAGAGGAGGUCGCCUAUUCGUGUAAUACCAAUGAACGAUCUUGUAAAAGAAGAAGUUAAAUCUUGAAUAAUCUUUGUGCUUUUUCCUCAUGUAAGAUGAUAUCAUAUAUAUUAACUUUGAGAUGUUCUGAAUC